CAUAAAUAUUCACACAUGCAUAAAAAUACAUACAGCAAGUGACUCAGACAUUGUUGAAUGCAUGUAUGCCAGUGGUUUGAAAAGCUGUUUUAAUUCCAUUUGGGCAGAGACUUGCAGUAAAUUAGAUUAAUGUUAAAGUGUCAUGUUUCCAGGAUUAGAAAAUGAAUUCAAACGAGUCUCUAGGUGUGUGUUGGUGCUCAGCAGGUGGGACGUAUUGAGCUACCUCUCUCUUGACGCCACCGUUGAUUCGACUCUCUCUGCCAUGUCUUUGAAAUUUCAAUAAUCCCGUUUCAACAACCUAACAAACAAGCACAGCGCAGGUUAAUAAAAUAACUUUUAAUUGUAGCUCCUGUUUGACUACUAGGCAAAUGUGACUGUUAUAGUACACUAUAACUCUCUCCCCAUUUUUAUCAAGCAGAAUGCCACAGAAGAGGCAGUGAACGAGUGUGAGAAGGACAAGUAGUUAUUCAAAAAGUGAUUUUCCACUUGAACAUACAGGAGAAGCCUCCUGAGGCCUAAGCAACUGUGGAAAGGGGGCGUUUAGGCCCAAUGAACGGGUGAGGAGGCACUACCAUGAGGUGUGGCGUACGGUCGCUGUGUUUGUCAGGGCUGAUGGAUGGCUCUAGGCUGUUUCGGGAUCAUAGAUGAUUGGAAGAUUGAGUUCAGGUAGGACGUAAUCAGGUGUUAAAUGAGACAAAGAGACGUUUUAUUGACACAAUAGGCAACAAAGGAGUGUAUAUCUUGUGCAAACAAAAAUGGAGUGUAAGUGUGUGAUAUGCAUGUAUGAUCCGAGAGCAGUUUUUUUUUAUGUGCGAUGUUUCCCAAACAUCUCCACUGUGCUUAUUGACUUUGCACAUAAACCUUUUUAAUGAUGAUGCUGUUUAAAUUGCGCCAUUGAUUUUAAUGCACCAAUUACGUCUAUAGUGUAUGAGAGUCGAUAUGUAGGACAGCAGUACAAAUAGCUGAAUAUGAGAGGGCUUUAGUCCAGCAAUUUUCUAUGAGUCUUAAGUGCCCACGAUCUGUAAAACACCUCACUUUCCUGAAAAAUGUGCAAUCAAUACUGUGGAGAAAACCUUUUUAAGGCUUGCAGUUACAUGCAUUUUCUGCUGAAUGAAAAAAUAAUCACGUUUUUUGCGCCUUGUGGCUACAGGAAAAACAAGACGCCUUUAGCAUCAUUACAAAUGCGGCCGGAAAAGGCCGUGAAUUUGUGUGCCCAUCGAUCUCCACGCCUGCUUAUUUUGGCACGAUUGUAACCAUCUUUCUUUUAGAGGUGCAAAUGUGUAGUGUGAUAGGAGGGGACGGCGGGAGGCGGCGGUUUGAGAAACGCCGUUAUUUGACAGUGUUUAAUUGGAGAGUACAUUUGAGAGGCAGCCGUCCCCGCCGCUGGCUUUGCUUCUAAUUGCCAGCAGCGCCGCGCUUAACGAAGCGAGCGAGAACGAGCGUGGGUGAGGGAGAGCGUGAGGAACAGAAAGAGAGAGGGGCCAGGUUUCCACGGCAACGGCAGAUCAACAGUAGGCUGUAGCCGAGGGGGUAGUUUCAUCUUGAAGAAAGACCCUCUCUACUUAGGCUCCCUCUGCAACAAGAAACAAAUGCCCCAGCCGCACGUAAACAAAACACCAGCGAAAGAGCUCCUUUUAAAGCUCAGCCCGCAGAGUGCGAGGUGAAGCGAAAACCUAUCCAUUAGAAGGAGAUUAAUGAAAAAAACUCAGUGGGUCCUCCCAUCGCAGCCUCGGUUAAAUAAGCCGCUACGAGCAUCCCUGUCUGCGAAAUGUGCUUCUAUGUGGUCCAGAACCACUAUCAUCCAGAUCUCAAUUAUUAUUCAUGCAGCUUCACUCAUUUCAUCUGCCAUCCGCGGGAACGCGUACGCUGUAGGUGAUGUCAACAAGAAGAUGAAGAACACCAGCAGAAAGGAAGGCUAUCUGAUUCAUUAAUCCUGACUGUUGAGUAUCAGGCGAAGAGACCCAGAACGUGAGAGAGAGAGAGA